ACAUAAGCUAGGACUGUCUUAGGCUAACCAAGGUAUAUGGCCAGUCUUGCUGGUAAUGCCUAGAACAGGUACUCCUGGGAACUUAACUACCUAGUGUUAGGUAAUUAUUUCAUACUAGUGUCUCAGAUUGGUACUAAUCAGUAAUAGUAAAUUCCCAAGUGACUACUCAGAGGUAGUUCAGAUGCAUAACAGAUCAAUUGACACAAAUCUCUGAACUAAGUAUUAGUAUAGGUGGAAUAGUGGUGAUAUUUCUACAGUAUAAGGAUGUACCACUGCUCAUGUGCCCAGUGUCUUGGGAAAAAGCUGAUGCAUGUGAGUAUUUCAGGUAUCUUAGUUACUGUUCUGUUGCUGUGAAGAGACACUAUAACAAUGACAACUCUUAUAAAACAUUUCACUAAAGGCUUGCUUACAGUUUCAGAAGUUAGUCCAUUAUCACCAUAGCAGCAGACAUAGCAGGCAUGAUGCUACUGGAGAAGUAGGUAAGAGCUAUAUCCUGAUCUGAAGGCAGAGAAGGAGAUACUGGGCUUAUCAUGGGCUUUUGAAAUCUCAAAGUCCACCCCCACACCCCCACCUCUGGUGACAAACUUCCUCCAACAAGCCCAGACUUCAUAAUCUAGAAUAAUACUAUUCCCUGGUGACUGAGCAUUCAAAUAUAUGAGUCUAUAGGGACCAUUCAUAUUCAGACCAUCACAUUUCACUCCCUGGCCCCCAUAGGCUUGUAGCUAUAUCACGAUACAAAACAAUGCACUCAAUCCAACUUCAAAAGUCCUCCUAGUCUAUAAUAGUCUCAACACUGUUCCAAAGUUCAAAGUCUCUUCUGAGGCUCAUAGCAUUCUCUUAAUUGUAAACCCUGUAAAAUCAAAAAGCUGAUCACAGACUUCCAACAUAAAAUGGCACAGAAUAUACAUUACCAUUCCAAAAAGGAGGAAAGGGAACAUAGCAAGGAAACACUAGAUCAAAGCAAGACCUAAAACCAGCAGGGCAAACUCCAAACUCUGUAUUUCCAUGUCUGAUGUCAAAGUGCUCCAGAUCUCCAACCUUUCAGCUCUGUUGAAUUGCAUUUUAGCACUUCUCUCUUUUGGGCUAGAUCCGCUCCCUCUUAGCAGCUCUUCUUGGCAGAUAUCCUACAACUCUGGCAUCUACAACAUCUUCGGGUCUCCACUGAAAUUGUCUUCACCUUCACAUUUUCAUGCAAUGGACUCUAUGCCUCCAUACAGGAACACCCUUGACACAUGCCGGGCCUCAGCAGCCUUCCUUAGCUUUGGAGGGAUAUUAGACAACUCCUUUUUUGUAUCACUGACUCUAAGCCAGAGCCACUUGUGGCAGAAACUGCCAAGUUCAACUGCCUGGUGAAGCUGGAAUUAGACUCCUUUGUUCACUUACAUUUGCAUCAGAUUUCUUCUUGAUGGUUCCCAUUACUGCUUAUGCCUUUCUUUAAUUCCUUUUCACAAGUUGAAACUUGGCUAGGCAGGAUCUUAGCCUGAACUUACCAAUCCAUUUAUUCCAUUUAGCAUCAGGCUUUUCUUUAAACUUUUUAUCUCCUUGAGUACUGGACUUACCUCCAUUAUACUUCCUGAUGCUAUUUUUGCUCUUAAACUAUACACUUUUUUCCUUGCUCAGCUUGCUCCUUUUCAUUAUAGAUAUGCAUAAGAGUGGCCACUAAUAACUACAUGACACAGUCAAUAUUUGACAGUCUCAAAAUCUCUACCAAGGCCAUUCAUCCAAAACUGUUCAAUUUAGCCUAAGGCAGAUUUGUCUUAGUCAGGGUUUCUAUUCCUGCACAAACAUCAUGACCAAGAAGCAAGUUGGGGAGGAAAGGGUUUAUUUGGUUUACACUUCCAUACUGCUGUUCAUCACCAAGGAAGUCAGGACUGGAACUCAAGCAGGUCAGGAAGCAGGAGCUGAUGCAGAGGCCAUGGAGGGAUGUACUAAGAGCUACAGCCUGGUCCACAAGCAGAAAGGGAGAUGCUGCUCUUAGCAUAGGCUUUUAAAACCUCAGAGUCCAUCCUCAGUGACACACUUCCUCCAACAUGCCACACUUAAUCCUUUCACAUAGUAUCAUUCCCUGGUGACCAAGCAUUCAAAUAUCCAAACCUGUGGGGGCCAUUCUUAUUCAAACCACCACAUCAGGUAAAAGAACAAUUCUACAAGAAGUUGCUUGAACUAUCUUAGUGGGAAAACGAUGUAUAUGCUGCCUAUUUUCUUAAGGAAAAUGAAAACAAUUUAAAUCAUCUUUGAUUGUUCACACUCACCAUGGAAAUAGAUUUCAUUAUUGUCUGUUAUUAUAUGUCAGAGUACUCUCCUGUGGGUAUCAGCUCCCUUUAUUAAUGGAUUGUCACCUGAUUCUUCACAGUGUUGCCACAUCAUCUAGUUCUAACAUGUGUUUUUCUCCAUUCUUUCUAUACUUUGCUGCUUGUAAUCUGAGGAAGUAGGUGAAAAGAUUUUUAAAAAUUUUGUUUGCAAAAAAUAUCUAAAUUCUGGGUAAGAGCCUGAGUGUGAGCAUCAUGUUAAGUGUUGAGCCUAACUAACAGUUAUAGUAGAUGAAUAGAGGCAUUUUCUUUGAGUUCCAGUUUCUUCCAAAGGUUGGACUCACUACCUAUCUUAAAUGCCAACAAACAUGCUAUAGUUGGAUGGUGUUCUUUUACUCGAGUAAUAUUUUUUCUGCAUUAAGCAUGAAGCAAUUGUUGUCUCUAUAGAAAAAAAAAC
rnacentral:lncRNA from 1 species